AUACGUAGGUGACAAGCGUUAUCCGGAUUUACUGGGCGUAAAGGGCGUGUAGGCGGUCUUGCAAGUCAGAAGUGAAAUUCCUGAGCUCGACUCGGGCGCUGCUUCUGAAACUGCAGGACUUGAGUGCUGGAGGGGAUAGCGGAAUUCCUCGUGGAGCGGUAAAAUGCGCAGAUAUUAGGAAGAACACCGGUGGCGAAGGCGGCUAUCUGGACAGUAACUGACGCUGAGGCGCGAAAGCGUGGGGAGCAAACAGGAUUAGAUACCCUGGUUGUCCACGCCGUAAACGAUGUAUACUAGGUGUAGGGGGUAUCGACUCCCUCUGUGCCGCAGUUAACACAAUAAGUAUUCCGCCUGGGGAGUACGGCCGCAAGGUUGAAACUCAAAUGAAUUGACGGGG
rnacentral:rRNA from 1 species